UACGUAGGUGGCAAGCGUUGUCCGGAAUUAUUGGGCGUAAAGCGCGCGCAGGCGGCUAUUUAAGUCUGGUGUUUAAACCUUGGGCUCAACCUGAGGUCGCACUGGAAACUGGGUGGCUUGAGUACAGAAGAGGAAAGUGGAAUUCCACGUGUAGCGGUGAAAUGCGUAGAUAUGUGGAGGAACACCAGUGGCGAAGGCGACUUUCUGGGCUGUAACUGACGCUGAGGCGCGAAAGCGUGGAGAGCAAACAGG
rnacentral:rRNA from 1 species